UACGUAGGGUGCAAGCGUUGUCCGGAAUUAUUGGGCGUAAAGAGCUUGUAGGCGGCUUGUCGCGUCUGCUGUGAAAUUUCGGGGCUCAACCCCGAACUUGCAGUGGGUACGGGCAGACUAGAGUGUGGUAGGGGAGACUGGAAUUCCUGGUGUAGCGGUGAAAUGCGCAGAUAUCAGGAGGAACACCGAUGGCGAAGGCAGGUCUCUGGGCCGAUACUGACGCUGAGGAGCGAAAGCGUGGGGAGCGAACAGG
rnacentral:rRNA from 1 species